UGGGGAAUUUUGGACAAUGGGCGAAAGCCUGAUCCAGCAAUGCCGCGUGUGUGAAGAAGGCCUUCGGGUUGUAAAGCACUUUUGUCCGGAAAGAAAUCCUUGGCUCUAAUACAGUCGGGGGAUGACGGUACCGGAAGAAUAAGCACCGGCUAACUACGUGCCAGCAGCCGCGGUAAUACGUAGGGUGCAAGCGUUAAUCGGAAUUACUGGGCGUAAAGCGUGCGCAGGCGGUUUGCUAAGACCGAUGUGAAAUCCCCGGGCUCAACCUGGGAACUGCAUUGGUGACUGGCAGGCUAGAGUAUGGCAGAGGGGGGUAGAAUUCCACGUGUAGCAGUGAAAUGCGUAGAGAUGUGGAGGAAUACCGAUGGCGAAGGCAGCCCCCUGGGCCAAUACUGACGCUCAUGCACGAAAGCGUGGGGGAGC
rnacentral:rRNA from 1 species